rnacentral:rRNA from 1 species
AUACGAACCGGACAAACGUUAUUCGGAAUUAUUGGGCUUAAAGGGUGCGUAGGCGGCGCGGUAAGUGAGGUGUGAAAGCCCACGGCUCAACCGUGGAAUUGCGCUUCAUACUGCCGUGCUAGAGGGAGACAGAGGUAAGCGGAACUGAUGGUGGAGCGGUGAAAUGCGUUGAUAUUAUCAGGAACACCGGUGGCGAAAGCGGCUUACUGGGUCUCUUCUGACGCUGAGGCACGAAAGCUAGGGUAGCGAACGGGAUUAGAAACCCCAGUAGUCC